rnacentral:tRNA from 1 species
GCCCCGGUGGCGGAAUCGGCAGACGCAGUGGACUUAAAAUCCACGGCCGCAAGGCGUGGGGGUUCAAGUCCCCCCCGGGGUA